rnacentral:piRNA from 1 species
UGGGACAGGCAGAUUCAUGAUGUAGAGC